rnacentral:rRNA from 1 species
AGUGAACGCUGGCGGUAGGCCUAACACAUGCAAGUCGAACGGCAGCACAGUAAGAUCUUGCUCUUACGGGUGGCGAGUGGCGGACGGGUGAGGAAUACAUCGGAAUCUACUUUUUCGUGGGGGAUAACGUAGGGAAACUUACGCUAAUACCGCAUACGACCUACGGGUGAAAGCAGUGGAUCUUCGGACCUUGCGCGAUUGAAUGAGCCGAUGUCGGAUUAGCUAGUUGGCGGGGUAAAGGCCCACCAAGGCGACGAUCCGUAGCUGGUCUGAGAGGAUGAUCAGCCACACUGGAACUGAGACACGGUCCAGACUCCUACGGGAGGCAGCAGUGGGGAAUAUUGGACAAUGGGCGCAAGCCUGAUCCAGCCAUACCGCGUGGGUGAAGAAGGCCUUCGGGUUGUAAAGCCCUUUUGUUGGGAAAGAAAAGCAGCGGGUUAAUACCCCGCUGUUCUGACGGUACCCAAAGAAUAAGCACCGGCUAACUUCGUG